UACGAAGGGGGCUAGCGUUGUUCGGAAUUACUGGGCGUAAAGGGCGCGUAGGCGGUACUUCAAGUCAGGCGUGAAAGCCCCGGGCUCAACCUGGGAACCGCGCUUGAGACUGGAGAACUAGAGUUCGGGAGAGGAUGGUGGAAUUCCCAGUGUAGAGGUGAAAUUCGUAGAUAUGGGGAGGAACACCGGUGGCGAAGGCGGCCACCUGGCUGGUAACUGACGCUGAGACGCGAAAGCAUGGGGAGCAAACAGG
rnacentral:rRNA from 1 species